rnacentral:rRNA from 1 species
UACGGAGGGUGCAAGCGUUAUCCGGAUUCACUGGGUUUAAAGGGUGCGUAGGCGGGUCAGUAAGUCCGUGGUGAAAUCUCCAAGCUUAACUUGGAUACUGCCGUGGAUACUAUUGGUCUUGAAUGUUGUGGAGGUUAGCGGAAUAUGUCAUGUAGCGGUGAAAUGCUUAGAUAUGACAUAGAACACCAAUUGCGAAGGCAGCUGGCUACACAAAUAUUGACGCUGAGGCACGAAAGCGUGGGGAUCAAACAGG